UCAAGCUGGCCCUAAGUGUUUGGACAAUCACAGAGCACUGGAUGUGGGGAAGAGAGCUAGAAAACCAACCUCCCUCUGGCUGAAGAGUGAACAGCAAAAAGAAGAACCAGACGCUAAGUGCUAGUAAGUGGAACAGGAGCCUGCACAGUCGCCUGAGUCGAUGAGACCUCGUGAAGGAUAAGGAAGAAAAAAUACUGGAUUCAGGAGAAGCAAUCAAUUAAAUUGAACUGUGAGCCUCUAACAUGCACAGCAGAAAGGGCAAUGGGAUUGUUGACAUCAUCACAAUGGAAGGGGAACUCUCAAGGAGCAGACACAAGAUUCCCUCUGCUGAAAUCUAAAAGGUGCUUUUGAAGAAGAACUUCUGAGUUGGGAGCCCUGAGAUGCAGAGGCCACCUUCACGCCCAGAAUUUUUCUUGGUUCAAGCUGGGGGUGGAGCAUCCAAAAGACAAUUCAACAAGGACAAUCCGGAAGGCCACAAACGGCCGUGGGCCAUCAACAACUUCAUAUCGAUCACCCCAUUAGAGGCCCUUACAUUUUAAAAAAUGACUUAAAUUUUAAAUUACUCAGAUUUUUAGAAAUCUAAAAGUUUCAGAAGGUAAUCUGAAUUGUGUUAAAAACCAGAAAACCUGACAAUUUGUCCCCCAUGGCAUAAUCAGCCGGACUGAGUACUGGCGACCCCCUUAGAGAAGUGUCCACGCUCCUGCUUAGUCCCUGAUUAAUCCCUGAUACUGAGACCCUGGGCCAAUUGCCAUUUGCCAACACACUUGCCAGGUUCUUUAAUUUACAUACAGCCUGUUUCUCAUAUUUAUGUUAAAUUCCAGCCCUAGUAUGCGUGUCUACUCAAGUUAGUAACCCCUAGACUGAGCUAAUGAGCUGAGACGUGGUUUACUGGUGAUCCAUGGGACCUGAGGAGAACUCAGGAUUCUUAGAGGACUUGGAGCUCUGUAGACCAGAUUAUAAUGGUUGAAGCUCUAACUUCACUGGGAGAUGGUGUGUUUCCCAUUCCCCACAGAAGCAGUACUUCAAUCUAUGUCAAUCCCUGCUCACUUUCUCCUUUCUGACAUUCUUGCCUCAGUUUUCCUCCCAUGGAACCCUCUACUUCUGCUUGAGGAACAUUCAUUACCCUUCAUAUCAGCUCCCCACCAGACCAUAAGCUCCAAGAGGGCACGGGCUACCUCUUUUCUGUUCCCUGCCAGAUCCUGAGCAAUUGGCAAUAGAAGUUCUUAAUAAACAUGGCUGGAUGAGUAAAUAAAGUGUCAGUCCCUUAUCCAAGACUAA